AAAUACCAAAAUAAAAUGUUGGUACUAAGUGUACUGAAUGUGAGUUUGUUUGUUUCAAAGUCAGAGAGCCGUGUCUCUCUACAGUCAGAGGUUUUUGUACGACGGCUCAAUGAGUUUGUAUCACUGUGGGCCACGUUCGGUGGAGGAACCAAACUGGAUAUUGGAAGUGAUACUCGUCCCACCCUGACGGUGCUGCGCCCCUCCACUGAGGAGCUGGACCAGGGGAAGGCCAUGCUCAUGUGCCUGGCCAACAAGGGCUUCCCCUCAGACUGGAGUCUGGCCUGGAAGGUGGACGGCAGAAGCAGCGGCAGCAACUGGGAGGAGACCAAGAGCCCCGGGGUGGUGGGGAAGGACGGCCUCUACAGCUGGAGCAGCACCCUGAAGCUCCCUGUAGACCAGUGGCAGAAGGUGGUCUCUGUGACCUGUGAGGCCACCCAGGGCUCCCAGACUCUGGUCUCAGAGACACUGAGGAGAGACCAGUGUUAGUCCUGACCUGACUCACUGGGACUCUGCUACUGGUUUUAAUCUACUACUGCUCUCAGUCUCCACUCUCUCUGAAUCUGUCUGUCUCUUUUUCUCACUCAUUCUCUAAUUUCAUGUUUCAUUUAUAAGGUUUUGAUGCAUCUUGUAUUUUUUCUUUGUGACAGUACAAUAAAGAUCUAUCAUCACA